rnacentral:rRNA from 1 species
GGUGGGGCCGGGCGGGUCGGACGAUUCGCGGCCUAUCAGCUUGUUGGUGAGGUAAUAGCUCACCAAGGCUUCGACGGGUAGCCGGCCUGAGAGGGUGACCGGCCACACUGGGACUGAGACACGGCCCAGACUCCUACGGGAGGCAGCAGUGGGGAAUAUUGGACAAUGGGCGAAAGCCUGAUCCAGCAACGCCGCGUGAGGGAUGACGGCCUUCGGGUUGUAAACCUCUUUCAGCAGGGACGAAGCGCAAGUGACGGUACCUGCAGAAGAAGCACCGGCCAACUACGUGCCAGCAGCCGCGGUAAUACGUAGGGUGCGAGCGUUGUCCGGAAUUAUUGGGCGUAAAGGGCUCGUAGGCGGUCUGUUACGUCGGGAGUGAAAACUCGGGGCUCAACCCCGAGCCUGCUUCCGAUACGGGCAGACUAGAGGUAUGCAGGGGAGAACGGAAUUCCUGGUGUAGCGGUGAAAUGCGCAGAUAUCAGGAGGAACACCGGUGGCGAAGGCGGUUCUCUGGGCAUUACCUGACGCUGAGGAGCGAAAGUGUGGGGAGCGAACAGGAUUAGAUACCCUGGUGGUCCACACCGUAAACGUUGGGCGCUAGGUGUGGGACUCAUUCCACGAGUUCCGUGCCGCAGCUAACGCAUUAAGCGCCCCGCCUGGGGAGUACGGAAU